GCGGGGUUUAUUUAACCUCGUCCCUUGAGGUUACGUCACUCCCUCCGCGUGUGACGUCACGAGCGCUCUGCGGCGCGCGGGGAACAUUUGGUUCUUGUUCAAUGGAAAAAGAAGCUUCUGGUUUUCCUAAUAGAAAGGCCCGGCUCCAUGGCAGCUCCUGAGGCUGGUCCAGGAGGGAAACCUGGAUGUGCUGUGGAUUUUCUGAGGGGAAAAUUCUCAUUUUUCUGGAAGCAGACACCAGGCUCUGCCUCUCCUGAUGGAAAACCUCAUUCCUGC